GCAGACGGUACAGAGUCAUGUGAUGUUGUUAGCAGGGGUUGAAUCUGAGAGGUUCUGCCGCGUUUCUUGUGCGUGCUAAGGCUAAGUGCUCUCUCCAGAGAAAGGACUAGUCCAAUUUCACUGCUCAAGAAAUCAUCCAAGGACCUAGAAUGUCUUACGGAUCCAUUGAUGCUGGCUCUAUUGGAAGCAGAAAUCCAUUUGGUGGGCCUUCAAGGCAGGGCUACCAGCCUGUAGCUACGCAGGUUAGCCCUUCAGAGCUGCAAGACGUGUUCCAGGAAACCUCCUCUAAUAUCUUUCAAAUCAAUGCAAAUGUGGUAACACUAGAGAAAAGCCUUCAAUCAUUGGGCACAUCCAGAGACACAGCAGAGCUACGACAGGGUUUACAUUCCACACAGCAGCAAACCAAUAAAGUCAUAACAAGCACAAGCCAACUCGUUAAACAACUCACUGACAUCAUCAGCGGAUCUUCACGGCAAGACAGGCUCCGUCUGACGAGGCUCAAAACAGAGCUGUCGGAUUCCGUGCAGCGAUAUGGAGACCUGCAGACGAAAAUUGCAGAUCGUUCGAGGGCCUUGCUUCCUCCGGCACAAAAGGACAGGAAACAGAGUGCACCGACACCUUUCAGUGAGCUGGUUGAGGAGGGAGCAUUGUUUGGAGUUGGAGAGAGCAUGGAGGGUGAUAGCCAAGCAUUCCUGUCAGAAAUCAGUGAAGAAGAUGUGGAGAUCCUGAGGCAGAGAGAAGAAGCACUUCUGCAGAUUGAGAGAGACAUUCUGGACGUUAAUCAGAUUAUGAAGGACUUGGCCAGCAUGGUGCAUGAACAAGGAGACACCAUAGACAGUAUUGAAGACUACAUUCAGACCACCUCAUCAAAUGUGGAAUCAGCCAAUCAGGAGCUCGCAAAAGCCAGUCAAUAUCAGAGACAGCUAAGGAAGAGGAAGUGUUAUCUUCUUAUUGCUGGAGUGUUGCUUCUGACUUUGCUUAUCAUCAUCAUUGCAGUCUCAGCCAGAAAAUAAGAGCAACUACACAGGAAGGAAUCUAGCUGUUUGCACAUAGCCGAAAAAUCGUUCUCAUUUCAUAGAAAGAACCUCUUCAUGUAAUCUGUCUUAUCUGCCAUUGGAGAACCCCAAGACGCUGGCUUUGACAGGCUGGAUGCUCUGGGCCCUCCUCUAUGGAUUCUCACACCACGAAUGAACAGGGGAUACAUUUUGAUUGUAUUAUGGUGGACCCACACCAACAAAUGCCAAGCAGACAAAUGCCAGACACCUCUUGUGGAGCUGUAAGGAAAGCCCAGACCUCCACAUUAAAAGGUGAGUUCUUAUCGGCAGAAUAUUUUGGCUCAUCUUGCCCAUCCUAAGAUGUAAACUGAGGUGGCAAUAAAAAUUCCUCAGGGCCUCCAGAUGCAGCACCUUAUUUAACUGACCAUGUGGCAGCAGUUGCUGAAACAAAGAAAAGACAUACAGAAGGACAAAUUCAUCCAUAUAUUCGCUUGAAAUCCUUGAAAUGGACAAGUACUGCAACACAUGCACUUCAUGUUCACGCACAGAACUGUUUGUGUCAAUUGUAGUUGUAUGCUAACAUUGUAAUUCAACCUAUUAACACAUAAAUGAAUGUAUGGGUGAUUUUACAAUUAUUUCUUAUCAUGUUUGGUCUCUAAGCAAUCAGAAUAAUAUAUAGACUAGUUUGAAAGAGGUUUGGAAAAUAAAUGAUGCAUAGAUAAAUCUUUAAGGGCACUGAUCUAUCUGUGUACAUUAAAAUAUACUAAUAAGUUCCACACCAGGGUGGGCCAUACUGUGGCAACUUCUGAUAACAACGGCCAAUCGGGUUGCUGGAAUGGGAAGGCAGCAGACUUCAUAUCUCACCAUAUCAGAAAGGGAUAAAUGUAUCCUCUGGAUGGACACACCUUUGCCUUAAGUUUCUAUCCUGACAAUCAAAGAGACAACAGUAUGACUGAGGUUAAGCUCUUGUGAGUAAAACCUGCCUGAUCCUCAGUUCCUUCAGUGUUGCAGCCCAGCCUGCAAAGGAAUCUGUGACAACUUCAUCACCUUACUAGCUGCAAGCCCAGAUUCUAAGGACCCUCGUGGUGCAAAAGAAACUCUCCUGCACCUUGUGGCCACAAAUGUUGGAGCACAAACCUGCACCCGUCCCACUGCAUGCAGUCUGCAAAACCAGUGGAUGAUGUCUCUGCCACCUGGACUGAUCACUGGACUGUAUGGAAUGUAAAUAUAACCUAUCCAAUAUAACCUAACCUUUCUAGAGACCUCGGCAUUAGUUUAUAACUGCAGCUGAUGAUUGUCUUACUUGCUUAGAUAAUGUUUAUCUGAGGUCAGUGCAUAACAAAUAAUAGUCAGAUUAUUUGUUUGAUGAUAAAUAAGCAUCUAGCUAUUAUCGUUUAACAGAGACCAUAAAAUGUUUUUCCCUUAAGAUUUU